UUCCUUCUCCAACUGGAGAUGAGGUUAGAAUUUUUAAAAGUAAAUAUGAGGCCACGAGGAGGAGACGCAGCGUUCUCUCCUGAGCGUGAAGCCGGCUUUUGGUGUUGCUUCUGCAGCUGCUAUUAGCCAUUGAUGAUCGUUCUUCUUUUCCUUUUUGGAGAUGAAGAGGGAGAGAACGUAGUCUGAGUGGC
rnacentral:snoRNA from 1 species